CCUACGGGUGACAGCAGUGGGGAAUAUUGCGCAAGGGGCGAAAGCCUGACCCAGCAACGCCGCGUGAAGGAAGAAGGCUUUCGGGUUGUAAACUUCUUUUGUCAGGGACGAAGCAAGUGACGGUCCCUGACGAAUAAGCCACGGCUAACUACGUGCCAGCAGCCGCGGUAAUACGUAGGUGGAAAGCGUUAUCCGGAUUUACUGGGUGUAAAGGGCGUGUAGGCGGGACUGCAAGUCAGAUGUGAAAACCACGGGCUCAACCUGUGGCCUGCAUUUGAAACUGUAGUUCUUGAGUACUGGGGAGGCAGACGGAAUUCCUAGUGUAGCGGUGAACUGCGUAGAUAUUAGGCGGAACACCAGUGGCGACGGCGGUCUGCUGGACAGCAACUGACGCUGAGGCGCGAAAGCGUGGGGAGCAAACAGGAUUAGAUACCCCUGUAGUC
rnacentral:rRNA from 1 species